CCCUACGCACGUAGGGAGUUGUCCUGCGGACGGGACUGCAAGGAUAAAUUCCUUAGGUGGCUCGUGGCAGCACUGUUUGCUGAUAGACCAGACGUGACUGGGAGAGAGUAAGAGUACCAGCACCUACAAGCAUGAAGUUACCAUUUACCAGGGUGGGGAAGACUGCGAGGAGCCGGCCUUUCAGCCAGCGGGGAAAGGGGACUUAUUUUUGAGAUCCAAGUUUGGAUGUUGCACGCUGACAGGAGUGGAGCGCUUCGGCAGAGGAGUGUAGCUCGUCCCUGGCAACCCUACAUGGAAAACAGACAUCCUGACCUCACUCUCCUCCCCCUGAACUCCUGUCUGUCUUGGCCAGCGGUCAAACCCCAUGGAAAGCCAGAAAGGGGCUGGCCCUGGACAUUUGUGCUGCACUGGAUGACACCCCUGUUGGUCCCAUAGAAACCAAGGUGAAGGACCUGGAAAGGGCACAGCCAGGAGGGCAGGUGGUCUUACCCGCCGAACCAUGACCCCAACAGCCUCUAUUCAUCCUGGGGUUGUGGGUGACCAUGAGGGUAAGUUUGUGGCUUAAAGAGACUCCCUCGCAAGCCUGCUGUGAAGAUGGAAUGGCAAAUCACUGUCUGAGAGUCAGAUCAUGGGCUCAUGAUAUAAUUUCUGUCUUGGUCUUAGAUGUCCCAGUCUGUCAAAUGGAAAUAAGAAAAGGUCUGUGGGUUGGGCACUGGGAAUAGAUGAUCAUAUUAUUUAGAAAGCUGGGCGAGAAACCAGUUUCUUCUUCUGGAAAUGGUUGACAGGGUCGCAACAGGGGGGAAAAAACAGAGAAAAAUGUUUCCCCUUCUGCUGUGGACAUGAAUCCAUCCCACAGUAUCUUUGAGAUCCACAGAGCUGGGAUCCCAGAGAGACGCAUGUAUGUGUAUGUAUGGGAUAUCUGGGGAGGACUUCUUCAGGAAAGACCCAGGAAAGAAAGACCCAGAAAAACCUCCAUUUCAGUGGUGGGGGCAGAAAGCAGGAACUGGACCACAAGCUGGGAGGGGCUCAGGGGAAUGUGGAGGUGCAGAGCGGUCAGGCCCAGCCCCUCAGCCGCCCCAUCCCUUAUUCCUCAAGGUCCCUGUGUGUCACAUCAGGAGUUCGGGUCAGACCCUCUAAUGCAGCCCCUAAAGGCCUCCAGGCCUCCUCCUGCACUGGUUCCAUCACAGGGGACUGGGCCUGCCUGUGACUACAGAAUGACCCUCGGCUCUGGGCCUCAGGCAUUUGUAAAAUCAGCAGAGUCGUCUAGAGAAGACCUUCCUAAAGUGGGGCUCAUGAGUCUCAUGGCCAGCAGGGAAUUUGAGAGAAAAAAAACGACCUUGGGCUCAUUUCCCCGAGAAGCGGACCCUGAGACAAAGAUGUGAGUAGAAGUGUUUCACUUGGGAAGUGAUCCCAUGAAGGACCAAUGGAGAGACCAGGAGGUAGGGAAGGGAAGGAAACCACCACAUGGUGUGUUGAUGUGUGUUUGCUGCUGUGGGCAACUGAGGCUCAGUCCCACUGGGGCCUCUGGGAUGCUGUGUGCAACAUGCCUCGGAGAGCCCCACCCUAGUCCGCUCGGGUAAAGGGCUGCAUCUGGGGCGUUAGCUCCCUGGCACUCCCAGCCUGCCCUGCGCGCCAGUUGAGCACCAUCCUGUGACCAGAGAAAUACCCCAGGUUCAGCAUCGCAUGUGUUUGCAGUGAGACGCCGUGAGCACGUGUGGGAAUUGGGAGUGCCACCGGACACGAGGAGGGUGUGGCAGAGUCUGCCACACUGACAAGCAAUUUUGUUUAUGUACAUUCCAUCAGUGUGAGAUAAGUGGGGCGCCUGGGUAGCUCA